GGGAACUUGAGUGCAGAAGAGGAGAGUGGAAUUUCCACGUGUAGCGGUGAAAUGCGUAGAGAUGUGGAGGAACACCAGUGGCGAAGGCGACUCUCUGGUCUGUAACUGACGCUGAGGCGCGAAAGCGUGGGGAGCGAACAGGAUUAGAUACCCUGGUAGUCCACGCCGUAAACGAUGAGUGCUAAGUGUUAGAGGGUUUCCGCCCUUUAGUGCUGCAGCAAACGCAUUAAGCACUCCGCCUGGGGAGUACGGUCGCAAGACUGAAACUCAAAGGAAUUGACGGGGGCCCGCACAAGCGGUGGAGCAUGUGGUUUAAUUSGAAGCAACGCGAAGAACCUUACCAGGUCUUGACAUCYUYUGACAACCCUAGAGAUAGGGCUUCCCCUUCGGGGGCAGAGUGMCAGGUGGUGCAUGGUUGUCGUCAGCUCGUGUCGUGAGAUGUUGGGUUAAGUCCCGCAACGAGCGCAACCCUUGAUYUUAGUUGCCASCAUUCAGUUGGSCACUUUAAGGUGACUGCCGGUGRCAAACCGGAGGAAGGUGGGGAUGACGUCAAAUCAUCAUGCCCCUUAUGMCCUGGGCUACACACGUGYUMCAAUGGGCAGAACAAAGGGCAGCAAAGCCGCGAGGKUAAGCCAAUCCCACAAAUCUGUUSUCAGUUCGGAUCSCAGUCUGCAACUSGACUGCGUGAAGCSGGAAUCYCUAGUAAUCGCGGAUCACCAUGCCGCGGUGAAUACGUUCCCGGSCCUUGURCACACCGCCCGUCMCACCACGAGAGUUUGUAACACCCGAAGUCGGUGAGGUAMCCUUUUGGAGCCAGCCGCCGAAGGUGGGACAGAUGAUUGGGGGAAGU
rnacentral:rRNA from 1 species